rnacentral:rRNA from 1 species
ACUGGUAGAGGAUGGACUUAUGGCGCAUUAGCUGGUUGGCGGGGUAACGGCCCACCAAGGCGACGAUGCGUAGCCGACCUGAGAGGGUGACCGGCCACAUUGGGACUGAGACACGGCCCAAACUCCUACGGGAGGCAGCAGUAGGGAAUCUUCCACAAUGGACGCAAGUCUGAUGGAGCAACGCCGCGUGAGUGAAGAAGGUCUUCGGAUCGUAAAACUCUGUUGUUAGAGAAGAACAAGGAUGAGAGUAACUGUUCAUCCCUUGACGGUAUCUAACCAGAAAGCCACGGCUAACUAC